AAAAAAAAAAGUUGCUGAUUCCAGUCUAGAGGAAACAGUAAGGAAGAGAAAAGAGAAAUUCUCAUUAUAGCCAUGGCAAAGGAAGGGACAUUUUUAUGGACUACAUCUCUGCCUGGAUGGCUGUCUCUAACUGGAUUUUGCCGAUAUAUUGCUGAUUUGGUGAGUCGGAGUUUCACUCUGUCGCCCAGGCUGGAGCGCAGUGGUGUGAUUGCGGCUCACUGCAACCUCUGCCUCCAGGGUUCAAGCGAUUCUCCUGCCUCAGCCUCCCGAGUAGCUGAGACUACAGACAUGUGCCACCACACUCAGUGGGAGAUAUGAAAUUAUCCAGGAAUGGCAAUUUGACCACAAAAUACAUGAACAGAUGGUUCUUGCAUUUGAAUGGGAAAAGAUGCUGCCUAGUCCAUCUUGAAUUGGAAAAUGUUGUGACUCAUAGUGCAAAUUUUACACUUUUGGAUGCAUUUGGAUUUCUUGGAUGUUGUAAGCACUUCUCCUUCCUGCCGCCACGUGAAGAAGGACAUGUUUGCUUCCCCUUCCACCAUGAUUGUAAGUUUCCUGAGGCCACCCAGUCCUGCAGAACUGAGAUUUUCACAGCUAUCUGUGAUGCUAUCUUGUGACCAUGAGGAGUGCUAAGCUGAAUCACAAAUCCACCAUGCUGAGGACAGCACAACAAAGACUUGGGGACUUAAUGGUUUUAACCAGUCACUGGGUUAACAAACCCUGGAACAAUCCUACCUCAAGACUUCAGUUACCUGUCCUGCUGACAUCAGACCCAGCACCAGGUGCAGAAGCAACCAUCAUACAAAAAUCAAGCUUCCUUAAUUAUAGAUGGAGUCUCCCUGUGUUGGCCAGGCUGGUCUUGAGCUCCUGGGCUCAAGCAAGCCUUCCACUUCAGCCUCCAGCAAUCCUCCCACCUUGGCCUCCCACAGUGCUGGGAUUACAGGUGGGAGUCACUGAACCUAGACUUGACUUUAGCUUCUUGAAGAGGAAAUUUUGAUCUUUGCUUUUAAACCUUUCUCAUUUCAAAUACAAAUAUUUAAAACUGUACAUUUUCCACUAAACACAGCUUUUGGUUGGGUCUCACAUAAUUUGGUAUAAUGUACUUUAAUUUUUAUUCAGUUUUAAAUAUGUGCUAAUUUCCCUUUGGAUUUCUUUUUUGAUCCGUAGUA
rnacentral:lncRNA from 1 species